rnacentral:rRNA from 1 species
UACGAAGGGGGCUAGCGUUGUUCGGAAUUACUGGGCGUAAAGGGCGCGUAGGCGGUGUGUCAAGUCAGGCGUGAAAGCCCCCGGGCUCAACCUGGGAACAGCGCUUGAGACUGGCACGCUCGAGUUCGGGAGAGGAUGGUGGAAUUCCCAGUGUAGAGGUGAAAUUCGUAGAUAUUCGCAAGAACACCAGUGGCGAAGGCGGCUCACUGGCCC